rnacentral:rRNA from 1 species
GACGAACCGUGCGAACGUUGUUCGGAAUCACUGGGCUUAAAGGGCGCGUAGGCGGCUCAUCAAGUCGGGGGUGAAAUCUUUCGGCUCAACCGGAAAAGUGCCUUCGAUACUGACGAGCUCGAGCGAGGUAGGGGCAGCUGGAACUUCCGGUGGAGCGGUGAAAUGCGUUGAUAUCGGAAGGAACGCCGGUGGCGAAAGCGAGCUGCUGGACCUCUUCUGACGCUGAUGCGCGAAAGCCAGGGGAGCAAAC